GACGAACCGUGCGAACGUUGUUCGGAAUCACUGGGCUUAAAGGGCGCGUAGGCGGCUCGCGAGGUCGGGGGUGAAAUCCCACGGCUUAACCGUGGAAGGGCCUCCGAUACCGGCGGGCUGGAGGAAGGUAGGGGUGCGCGGAACUUCUGGUGGAGCGGUGAAAUGCGUUGAUAUCAGAAGGAACGCCGGCGGCGAAAGCGGCGCACUGGACCUUUUCUGACGCUGAGGCGCGAAAGCUAGGGGAGCAAACGGG
rnacentral:rRNA from 1 species